UUGGCGUAUUGGCUUGUGUUGAGAGUACAGCUUUUAUAUAAAAAUCCUACCGGUAAGUUUAAAAGGACAAUAGAAUAAAAUGUGGAAACGGGGAAUGAGUCAAAGAGACAACAACCCGAUCAAAGAGCAUAAAACAGCCAAAGGCCACCAGCGGGUCUUCAACGCAGCGAGAAAAUCCCGCAACAGGAGGCGGGCUUCAGCUGGCCCCAUAACAAUAAACAAAGCUUGUUUAAAAGAACAAGUCUAUCACAUGUGUCUGCAUAAGAGGCAACAAUCAUAAAAAUAUAUCACAUUUGAUGCAUUGAGUUGUGUUAAUAGUACUGGUUUUUUUUUAACACCCUGUCGAUAAUUUUUAAAAGACAAAUAUAUCACAUUGACUUAUUGACUUGUAUUUUAAUAGUACUGCUUUUAUUUUAACUUUCUGCCGGUAAGUUUUAAAGGACAAAUCUAUCACAUUGGUGUGUUGGCUUUUAUUGAUAGUACUGUUUUUGUUUGAAUGUUUGAAUAUCCUGCUGGAAAGUUAAAAAAAAACCAAGUCUAUGACAUUUGUCUGGCCAAAAGGCAAUAGCAAUAAAAUUGAGAAUGGAAAUGGGGAAUGUGUCAAAGAGACGACAACCCGACCAAAGAGCAGAAUACAUCCGAAGGCCACCAAUGGGUCUUCAACACAGCGAGAAAAUCCCACACCCGGAGGCGUGCUUCAGCUGGCCCCUAAACAAAAAUGUGUACUAGUUCAGUGAUAAUGGACGUCAUACUAAACUCCAAAACAUUUAAAUGAACUAAAAUUAAAAAUUAUACAAGACUAACAAAGGCCAGAGGCUCCUGACUUGGGACAGGCGCAAAAAUGCUGCGGGGUUAAACAUGUUUUGUGAGAUCUCAACCCUCCCCUAUACCUCUAGCCAAUGUAGAAAAAACAAACACACAGCAAUACGCACAGUAAAACUCAAUUUAAAAGAUGUCCGAGUCCGAUGUCAGAAUAGGUAACAAAAAUCUAAGCAAAAUGACAAUGAUACAUAAAUUAACAAAGGACUACUAGCAGUUACUGACAUGCCAGCUCCAGACCUCUAUUAAACUGAUUGAAAGAUUAUGUCUUCAUCAUAUGCAGUAUAUAUACCGAUCUUCAAAACUCGUAAAUCAAAUAUGAAUAUACAAACAAACAAAAUAUCCUGUCCUGACCUACAAAUGUUCUAUCUGAAUCAUUGCUCCAUGAACUACACAUCUUCUACCCGAAUCCUUGAUUCCACCCUUUUCAGAAUCCUUAAUCCUUGGAACUGCUUUUCUGUUCUUGGUUUGCUACGUCAGUGAUGCUAAUAGUAUACUCUGUUUAAAUACAUACUUUGCUUGUAUCCCACGUCUGUUUAAUUAAAGGGUUUGUUAUCAAAAUACCACAAAAAAAGAGAUUUUUCCUAAGGUUAAAAGGAAUAAAAGUCCAGAUGAAUAGUUCAGUAUCCAAAUUCGAAAUUCGAGAUUUGAAAUUCAUAAUAUUUGACUUUCAAAUUCCAGUUUGGGAAAUCAAUUUCGAAACAGCCAAUCAGCAUAACGCUUUAAAUAAUAUAAUUGAUCAAUAACGAAAUGAGAGAUUACAAAGUGAGACGGAAUGACAGAGUUUGACACACCAAAUGUGCAUGUGAAGAAAACUUCAAAGCAGACAGCAACCCAACAACUCAUAUAAUCUAAUGGCAAACCCAAUGUCUAACAAAUUCAAGGAGCUGAUAAACAAGAAUUGUGACUACUAUAAGGGGUUCUUGGGAAAAAAAAUUAAGACCCCCAAGUUAUAUCAUCUUACAUAAUCUCAAAUGACAUAAUAUGACAUAAAAUGGUAUAAUAUAAUUUUUUGGGGGUCCAAGAAUCCCCUAUAGUAGUAUUGUGUUUGCACCAAACUUUUCUUUUCUAGAUCAAAGAUUUUUUCUAACAGUUUAAUUAUCUAUAACAGAAUCUGCCAGCCUGUUUAUAUUGUACAUAAACUAAGCUGUGGCAUUAACAGUUGCUGGUGUUUCGUAUGAAGGUCGUGUAGAUUACGACCAGGCUGAUGCUCCUGAAACCUGUAGUGCCUGGGAAGAAUUCGAUGGGAUAGAAUGUGUUUGUGCCAGUAGCAGUGCUGGGUGUAGUGACGAUGGCGGAAUGGUUUGUGAUGACCAAGGGCUACAAUAUCGUUCUUCUUGCUUGUUCUCUCUCCAGAUGUGCCAACAAAACAUUAGUAUUGACGACAAUAUAGUAUCCUGUGGUGCAUGCAGCACACUGAGGCUUACCGGUGGCAAAAAAUACCCUAAAGGUGUCACCCUAGCAAAGUUCACGAGACAAGGACCAGAGGCAGGUUUAUCAACAAGAUAUAAAUCUAUAAACGACAAUGAAACUGAGAUUUUCUUUGUACCAGAACUGAACGCAUGGACAAUUGGAAAAUCAACUGUCAAUGGUAGUUUUGUAUCCAUGAUCCAACCAACAAAUACCUCAUUCCCUGGGGAUGGAGUUCCAGGAAUGUUGAUACCAAACAAAAAUGGAACGAAUAUUACAUGGGAAUUGGACGAAACUUUUCGCUUGGAAUGUGUAGAAGAUCAAUUACAGGGCGUGAGGGUAAAGAGAUUUAUCUU